ACCUAAAGAAUUUGGCGGUAUUUUAGUCUAUUCAGAGGAAUUUGUCCCUUAAUCGAUAAUCCUCGUUUUAUCUUACUUGUAUUUUGUAAUAGACAGUAUGUAUAUCGCCGUUAUGAGUUUAUUUUUUAAGAAUUUAAAUUUACUUAAUAUUUUAUUUUAUAACAUUUCAGGUCAAGGUGCAGCCUAUAAUUAAGUGGUGAUGAAUUACAAUAUUAUUUGAGUAAACGAAAUUUUGUUUUAAAAUUUUAUAUGAAGGUGGAUUUGUUAGUAAUUUUAAUUAUAAUGUUAAUUUGAUUUGUAGCUCUAAAAUAAGUACACAUCGCCCGUCGCU
rnacentral:rRNA from 1 species